UCUCUCCUCCCUCUUUCUUCCCAGUCGACCCUUUCUUCCCCAUUUCUCUUCUUGCUCGAUGGAAUCGAGCAAACCAGCGAAGCUGGAGAAGUCGCGUGCCUCCGCCAGAGCCAAACCCACCGCCGCACGUCGCCGCAUGCCAUCGUUGCUCGGCCCUGGCCGCGUGCCCUCCGUCUUCCCCCUUCCUCUCCUGUCGCGGUCUCUCUCCUCCAUCUCUGGUUCUUACUCGAAGACCCAGCGGAUCUGAGGACGUCGGAGCAGCCAGCUAGCUGCUGGACCGCCGUCUCGCGCCUUUGCCCCCCACCGUUCGCCGUCGAGCUACACGCCGUUGCCUCGCCACUGCCCCGCUCGUCUCGGCCUCCCUCUCACCCAGCUCUCUGUUUCAGCGAGCUGUCCAGCUCGUCCUAGCUGCUGUGGACCACCGCCGGAGCUCCUACCGCCACCGCCUAGGUCCGGUUCAGCCUCCUCCGUCCAUCUAAGCCCUUACAUGCCUCAACCAAACUUGGAUCUGCCUUUUUUCCGGCCUCAACCAGCAGCGAACGGGGAGGAGAAAAAUGGGUAUGGCAGCAGAUUCGUGGCCCGUUUUGGCCGGCUUCCCAACCCCGGAAGCUAGGCCCGCCUUGGAGUGAAUCGAUCCCCUCGGCGUCCCCAUCGAUUUGAGCCGCUCGGAUCACUAAUCGAGUGAGUUUAACUCACUAAUCCCCGCUUAGUAAAUUAAUCUGGUUUAAGGGAUGUUUAGAUUAAGCUAAGUAGGUUUAGGUGAUUAGAUUAAUUUAUUUAAAUGUUAAGUGGAUUAAGGGAUGUGAUUAGUUUAGUGGAUAAUUAAUUAAGGCUAAGUAAAUGUUUGGAUUAAAGUAAUCUUGUUUAAGCCUUAAUUAAUUAUUUUAAAUUAAAUAAUUAAUUCGAAUUUGUACUAUUAUAAUUAUAAUAUAAUAUUAUUAUAUUUAAUUUUCGGAAUAAAUUUAAUUAUUUAUUAUUUUCCAUAAAUUUUGACCGGGAUAGCCGGUGACCGGAAUUUUAUGCUAAUGAUCGUGGUGAAGUCCGUUUGUUUAAUUGAGCUCCGAUUUGAGCUAAAUUGAAUUUAUUGUAAUUAAUUAUUAAUUUUCGAAAUUAAUUAAUUAAUUAAUUAAAUUUCGGAAAUUAAGAUUUAGAUGGCCAACGACCAAAAUUCCAUGCUGAUUAUCGUGGUGCAAUCCGUUUAUUUAUUUGAGCAUUAAUUUGUGCUGAAUCGAAUUAAUUGGGAAUUUAGGAUUUAUUCCUAAAUUAUAUGAUUUUGGUUAUUAAUGGAGAAAUAACCAGGCGUCAGUUUAUAGCGCCAAAAAUAUGUAAUGGGCUGAUGAAAUUGGUGGGAUAUUUUUAAUUAAAAUUAUUAUAUUUUGGCUAAGGCCGACUGUGUACCCACACACGGCUAUUUAUCGUGAAUGAUAAAAAUGAUGAAUUGACUAUAUGGUUGGAGUGGUAUACUAUAUCGGCCUUCGGGCGAUAUGUUAGUUUUGGGUGAGCAGUAUACCGGUAUACUAUAUUGACCUACGGGCGAUAUGUCAGCUUUGGGUGAGCAGUAUACCUUAUUAUCAGCUUUGGGCGAGCAUAUAUAGUAUACUAAAUUGGCUUGGGGGCCCUAAUCUAUCAGCUUUGGGCGAGCAUAUACAUAGUAUACUAUAUCUAUCAGCUUUGGGCGAGCUAUGCUAUCUAUUAUCAGCUUUGGGUGAGCAGUCCUAGACUAUGGUCGGACUUUAUAGAUAAUAUUGAAUGUACUGACCAGGGAAAGGUCGUGGUGACAUGUAAUCGAUUAAAUCGAUUGAUCGCUGAGUCGAUCUGAUUGGUGGAAUGUGAUUGUUUGCUGUAGUUAUCGGUAUUAUUAAUUAAACUAAUGUGCAGGAAAGGAACUGAUGCCAAGGUAAGCCCUUUGACUUGUGUUGUGCUUAGGCAACCCUUAUGGCGUAUUAGCUUCCUAAUUGGGUCUUAGUGGGGGUAGAACUUGCUGAGACAUAAUCUUAUCUCGGUUUGGGGAAAAUAUUUCAGGUUCCUAGAUGACGAUCGUGGAGGACCGGAAGUCCUGAAGUUCGGAAGGUGGAGGCUGAGGAAUCGGCAAAUGGGUCUGACUAGUGGAUGUUAAGACAGUCCCCUUUUUGAUAAACCGUUAAUUUUGUAAACAGCCUAAGUUUAUAAUUAACCGGUUUGUCUAUAAAGACUCGUCUUGGUUUGAAAAUAUAUAUAUGAUCCUACUUUUCUACCCCA
rnacentral:lncRNA from 1 species